GAUGAAUGCUGGCGGCGUGCCUAACACAUGCAAGUCGAGCGGUAACAGGUCUAGUUUACUAGAUGCUGACGAGCGGCGGACGGCUGAGUAACGCGUAGGAACGUGCCCCAAAGUGAGGAAUAACUGCCCGAAAGGGUGGCUAAUGCCGCAUAUGAUCUUCGGAUUAAAGUCUUCGGACGCUUUGGGAGCGGCCUGCGUUA
rnacentral:rRNA from 1 species